rnacentral:rRNA from 1 species
GACGAACGCUGGCGGCGUGCUUAACACAUGCAAGUCGAACGGAAAGGCCCUGCUUUUGUGGGGUUCUCGAGUGGCGAACGGGUGAGUAACACGUGAUUAACCUGCCCUUUACUUUGGGAUAACUUCUGGAAACUGGGGCUAUUACCGGAUAGGAUCUCCUGCUGCAUGGUGGGGUUUGGAAAGUUUCGGCGGUUGGGGAUGGACUCGCGGCUUAUCAGCUUGUUGGUGGGGUAGUUGCUUACCAAGGCUUUGACGGGUAGCCGGCCUGAGAGGGUUACCGGCCACAUUGGGACUGAGAUACGGCCCAGACUCCUACGGGAGGCAGCAGUGGGGAAUAUUGCACAAUGGGCGGAAGCCUGAUGCAGCAACGCCGCGUGCGGGAUGACGGCCUUCGGGUUGUAAACCGCUUUCGCCUGUGACGAAGCGUGAGUGACGGUAAUGGGUAAAGAAGCACCGGCUAACUACGUG